AUUCAGAUGAUGAGUUCCACAUAGGAGGUAACGCGCAUCCUGGAU
rfam:Schistosoma margrebowiei strain Zambia genome assembly, scaffold: SMRZ_scaffold0000198